rnacentral:rRNA from 1 species
UCAUGAGUUUUGAAUUCAUGGCUCAGUGAUGAACGCUGGCGGCGUGCUUAACACAUGCAAGUCGGACGAUGAAGCCUUUCGGGGUGGAUUAGUGGCGAACGGGUGAAUAACACCCCUGUCUUAAAACAGACCUGGCCCUUGACUCUGGGAUAAGCCUGGGAAACUCGGGUCUAAUACCGGAUAGGACCUCCUGCCGCAUGGUGGGGGGUGGAAAGCCUUGUGCGGUCUUGGAUGGGCUCGCGGCCUAUCAGCUUGUUGGUGGGGUGAUGGCCUACCAAGGCGACGACGGGUAGCCGGCCUGAGAGGGUGACCGGCCACACUGGGACUGAGACACGGCCCAGACUCCUACGGGAGGCAGCAGUGGGGAAUAUUGCACAAUGGGCGGAAGCCUGAUGCAGCGACGCCGCGUGGGGGAUGACGGCCUUCGGGUUGUAAACCCCUUUCGGCAGGGAACAAGCCCUUCGGGGUGAGGGUACCUGCGGAAGAAGCGCCGGCUAACUACGUGCCAGCAGCCGCGGUAAUACGUAGGGCGCGAGCGUUAUCCGGAAUUAUUGGGCGUAAAGAGCUCGUAGGCGGUUUGUCGCGUCUGCUGUGAAAGCCCGGGGCUCAACCCCGGGUCUGCAGUGGGUACGGGCAGGCUGGAGUGCAGUAGGGGAGACUGGAAUUCCUGGUGUAGCGGUGAAAUGCGCAGAUAUCAGGAGGAACACCGAUGGCGAAGGCAGGUCUCUGGGCUGUAACUGACGCUGAGGAGCGAAAGCAUGGGGAGCGAACAGGAUUAGAUACCCUGGUAGUCCAUGCCGUAAACGUUGGGCACUAGGUGUGGGGGCCAUUCCCACUGGUUUUCCGCGCCGCACCCAACGGGCAUUAAGUGCCCCGCCUGGGGAGUACGGCCGCAAGGCUAAAACUCAAAUGAAAUUUGACAGA